rnacentral:rRNA from 1 species
UACGUAGGGUGCGAGCGUUGUCCGGAAUUAUUGGGCGUAAAGAGCUUGUAGGCGGUCUGUCGCGUCUGCUGUGAAAAUCCAGGGCUCAACCCCGGACUUGCAGUGGGUACGGGCAGACUAGAGUGUGGUAGGGGAGACUGGAAUUCCUGGUGUAGCGGUGAAAUGCGUAGAUAUCGAGAGGAACACUAAGGGCGAAGGCAAGACUCUGGACAAGUGCUGACGCUCAUGCACGAAGGCUAGGGUAGCGAACGGG